UCCAACGAGGGGUCCCCCUGAAUCUCAGCUGCCUCAGAACCCACAGCCCCAUGCGGCCCCGAGCCUCCCUCCUGCACGUGUUCUACAGGACAGGCAGGUGGUGGGGGGCCCGCAGGUGAAAUAGAGAUUUUUGGAGUUCACUUGAGUUAGCAAAAUGAAUUAAGCAUUUAAAUUUUAUCUUGUAGAGUUGUGUGUUGAAUUUUAAUCUUUUACUUAAGAAACCUCUUCCAUGAUACAAAGGGCAUAGGAAAAUGCAAACUUCUGGAGCUUCUUGCAUAACGAACAGUACCAGAGGAGACCAAGGGAUGCAAAGAACCCAGAUAAAGUGGCUUCUCUGUCUCCAAGCUUAUCAAGACUGACAGACAUACUCAGAUAAGUACCAACGGACCAAAAGUGCACGUGCAAAGGAGAGAAGUUCAAAAGUUUGCUGCUGGUCCCGGGGGAUUUGGGGAUCUGGGAAUUUUAAUUUACAGUGAUUUGGGGUCACAGGGAUUUGAGGUCAAAGAGUUUUGGGGCACGAGUUUUGGAGUCGCAGGGAUUUGGGGCACAGUGAUUUGGAGCCACAGGGAUUUGGGGUCACAGGGAUUGAGGAUCACAGGGAUUUGGGAUUCGGGGGAUUGGGGGUCACAGGGAUUUGGGGUUCUGGGGAUUUGAGGUCAUAGGGAUUUGGGGUUCUGGGGAUUUGGGGUCAUGGGGAUUUGGGGUCCUGGUGAUGUGUCACAGCCCCUUCCCCACUCCCUUAACUUUUAGGGUGCCCCAGGGUCCCCCUGGGGUGCUUCUGGGCUGGGGAGGCACCCAGGGGGGUCCAGGACCAACCCAAACUCCCCCAAACCUCAUGUGUGGGGGGUGGGGGUGCUCUGAUGCCACUCAAGGCACCAUUGGUGCCACCUGCGGGAUGAUACAUGGAGCCAGAGGGGAACCCCAAAAUCCCUCAAAACUCCCCAAGACCCCCCAAACCCCAUAAAAUUGACCCAAAACCCCGCAGGGGCCCUGGCUGAACCUGAAAUCUGCUGGAUGCCGAGCUCUUCCUCUACAGCCUCAUCCUCACCGGCCUCUACGUCUGCCUCAGGUUCAUGACACAGCGAUUGUGGAGAGCGGCUGAGCAGAAGGAGGAAGAGGCCAUUUAUGCCAGUCUCAGCCCGGGGUACCAGGAGACCUAUGACACCGUAUAGAUGCAGAGCUCGUGACCCCUCCGUGUCCCCCCCAUGUCCCCUCCUGUCCCCUCCCCUGUCCUCAAACCCCCCUGCCCCCCCACCAGGAUGGAAAAUUGGGAUUUUUCCUCCUGGAAAUGCCGGAUUUGGGUGGAAAAUUGGGAUUUUUUACACAAAAAGCACCCCCCUUUCCAAAUCUGGAAGAUUUUGUGGUGUCUCCCCCUCACCCAACCCAUACAACCCCCACCCUUAUGAUGUCUGCCCCCCAAAUUCUGACCAAAAACAACCCAUGGAAAUAAACCAGUUCAAACCAAUUUAAACCAGUGCUCCCAGCUGAACCCAAAAGCUGUGGUUUGGUCCCAAAAGUGGAGGAAGGGUAAAAAUUGGGAUAAAAUAGGUAUAAAAUACAGAUUUAAAAGAUUAAAAACAGAGAUUAAAUGGGGCUUAAAGGGUUAAAAAUUGGGGUCAAAAUUUAGGAUAUAAUGGGUAAAAAUAUGGAUUAAAAUGGAUUAAAGUAGGGAUUAUAAAAAUUAUAAAGUAAGAAUAAAAUGGGGAAAAUGUGGAGAUAAAUAGGGAUUAAAAGGACUUAAAAUAGAGACAAAAAUGGGUAAAAAUAGAUAAAAUAUGGGUAAAAGUAGGGAUAAGAAGGGGUAAAAAUAGGGAUAGAAUGGGGCAAAAUAGGGAUAAAAAUGGGUUUUAAAAUGGGUUAAAACUACACAUUAAAAUGAGCUAAAAAUUGGGAUAAUGUGUUUGAAAGGGUUCCAAAUAAGUGAUAAAAAGGUUUAAAAUGGGGUUAAAAUGGGUUAAAAAUAGAUGAAAAUGGGUUAAAAUAGGGAUAAAUUUGGUAAGACUAGGGAUUAAAUUGUGUAAAAAUAGGGAUUAAAAUUGGUUAAAAAUAGGAAUUAAAAAGAAUAAAAUAGGAAUUAAAAAGAGUAAAAAUAGGGAUAAAUAUGGGUUAAAAUAUAUGAAAAGUGGUUAAAAAUAGGGAUUAACAUUGUUAAAAAUAGAGAUCAAAAAGGGUUGAAAUAGCGGUAAAAUGAGUUAAAAUCAUAAAAAUGGGUGAAAAGGGAGAAAAAAUGGGUUCAAACCAUGGAAGAAGAAAGGGGAAAUGUCCCCCAUAUCCCUGGGGAAUGGCAGCUGGCAUCAGGAGGUGGCAUCAGCAGGUGACAAGGUGGCAUCCGGGUGGCAGCAGGAGGUGGCAGAGUGGCACCAUGGUGGCAGCAGGAGGUGGCAGCACUGGCCGUGCCCCAGGCCUUCUUUUCCACCAGAGCACAGUACUUGUUGGGCACCUCAGUGUACCUGCAGGGGACAGAGUGACACAAGAGGGGACAUCAGUGGUGCCAGGAUGUGCCAGGAGGUGGCACAGGUGACAGAACAGGUCCCAGGAGGUGCCAGGAAGUGACAGAGGUGCCAGAGGUGCCACAGCAGGUGGCACAGGAGGUGACAUCGGAGGUGACAUUGCCACCCCACACCUGAGGUGCUGCAGUUUCUGCUUUCCCACUCGUGCCAGGUGCUCUGCCUGCUCCCGUGCCCCUGACAGCUCCCACUGUCCCUCCUCGAUGGCCGCGGCUCUGUCGC